rnacentral:lncRNA from 1 species
CAAAGUCUGGCUCAAGUGAGCAAAGUGAAAAUGGCAUUAAAAUAAACAAGUUUAAUGGUAUGAAUAGUGACAAAUGAAUAAAGACUUGAAUUUAAAGUGCAUAAAAGUAAAUGGCUUGAAAUUAAAUGUUAGUUGUUAGUUGAUUAGAAGUUAGUAUUGCUUUUGCUUUUAUUUUGUUUAAGUCAUUCUUUGGAGAACACUCAACCCACUAUUCAUAAGCAUGGAUCCUUGAACCAAGACAUCUUCCAAAGGAAGGAAAAAAGGCCAAGUUUCC